GCAAACUGCUCAGUAACACGUAGCUAACCUACCCUUAGGUUAAGAAUAUCCUCGGGAAACUGAGGUUAAUACUUAAUAGGGGAUAUACCCUGGAAAGAUUUAUCCCUGAAACUUGAGCCUAAGGAUGGGGCUGCGGCGGAUUAGGUUGUUGGCGGGGUAAAAGCCCACCAAGCCUUUGAUCUGUAAGGGCUCUUAGCGGAGAGGCCCUGAGAGGGAAUCUGAGACACUAUUCCCAGCCCUACGGGGUGCAGCAGUUAGGAAUAAUCUACAAUACGCGCAAGCGUGAUAGUUUGAGUCAGAGUGCGUUCCAAUUUGGAAUGCUUUUGCCGAAUCUAAAACGUUCGGCGAAUAAGGACUGGGUAAGACGGGUGCCAGCCGCCGCGGUAAUACCCGCGGUCCAAGUCGCAGCCAUUUUUAUUGGGUCUAAAACAUCCGUAGCUUGCUUUCUAAGUUCCUUGUGAAAUCCUAUAUCUAAAGUAUAGGGCGCGCAGGGAGUACUAUUAAGCUAGAGACUGGAAGACGUAAGAAGUACGUUCGAAGUAGCGGUUAAAUGUGUUAAUCUCGAGCGGACUCACAACAGCGAAGGCAUCUUACGAGGACAGUUCUGACAGUAAGGGAUGAAGGCCAGGGGCGCAAAACGGAUUAGAUACCCGUGUAGUCCUGGCAGUAAACACUGUACACUAAACAUUAGUACCUCCUCGAGAGGUAUUGGUGCUGAAGCGAAGGCGAAGAGUGUACUACCUGGGAAGUAUAGUCGCAAGGCCGAAACUUAAAGGAAUUGGCGGGGAGACACUACAACGAGUGACGCGUGCGGUUCAAUUAGAUUCUACACCGUGAACCUCACCAGGAGCGACAGCAGAAUGAAGGUCAGUCUGAA
rnacentral:rRNA from 1 species